rnacentral:sRNA from 1 species
UUUGGAAAACCAAUAUAAAAGCCUCCAUGAUCCACAUUUAAAAGCAUACUAUAAGCGCAAAGAUAUUUUGAAGAGAUUAAAGAAAGGUGGCUACAUCACCAGCAAUAAUAAAGUUGUAUGUACCUUGAGAGAAUUGAAUAAGUACAGGCAAUAUCUUACCAGUUUAAAAUUAGACUUUGAGAGAAACUACAUAAAAGAACAAGUAAGUUAAAUACUUAAAUUUGGUUUAUUUACAUAUAGUUUGGAAGAAAUGCUUGUUUAUAUGUAGAGUGUUCUUUUAAUAAUAUUUUGACCCUUUAUUAUUGACAAAGUAAUUGCAUAUUUUUUCCAAGUGAAAAUUUACAGUAGGAAUAAACAAUAUUUGAAUUUUGCUAUAUUUGGCCAAGAAUGGGAAAGGGACUGGGUCAUCUGUCAACACACCAGUGGUAGCUGGCAUAAUUCAACAAUUAAAUUGCUAGUCAGAUGUGUUGUUUCCCCCUGAGCUAAGGCCAAUAAGAAACAUCUCUUGUGGCUGAAAGAUUCUUAAAUUGAAACCUAAAACAGUUUGAGCCGUAGGAAAAGAACAAUAAUUAUCUGUAAUGUUCUACAGUGAUUCAAGAAUAUGUCCACUCUGUGUUUGUACUCAUACACAUGCACCUGUAUUCAUUCAGUAAAAAUGUUGUUCUUGAAUGUGAAGUAGAAUGAUUGGGUGUAGAGUGAAUGGUUAUGGAUAGUGACUUCCUUUUGAUUUUUGACUCAAAGAUGUGUGUGUGUGUGUGUGUGUGUUUGUGUGAAUUCAGAUUUUAGGGUCAAGAGGUUUGGAUCGAAGUGAGAAAGGUGUAUAUAUAUGAGUGU